CUCAAAAAGCAGGACAACAUUGCCAAGCAAAGAGGAACUUGGGGACAUCAGUCUAGUAGGAACUUAAAUGGAUGUCUAACUCACCAAACAUGUAUCAGCAUAGCGAAGUCCAAUUAUUUACUAUUUCUGAGAAAGUCUCACUGCACGAGGAGAUGAACCAGAGAUUAGAAGAUGCCAAGUAAAAUGAUGUUGAGAAAUAAGAGCUCCUGCCCAGUGAAGUCUCACAAGGACAUGGGACUAAAUGUGUCAGUGAUUCAUAUUGAUGGAUGGUGACAGAAAUUUGUGAACUUCCACAUCUGCUGGUCAAGGGACUACACGUUUGCCGUUGCAUCGAGAAUUGACGGAGUUCUCAUGAUAAGGCUUCUUUACGGUGGAAUUCUUUGGAGAAAUUUGCUUGCAGAACAUGCUUGGAAGCAAUUGGUAAGUCGGCAUCCUUCAUAAGAUAAUCCAUCAAUGUUUCAGAUCUAGACUGGUCGAUAAUCUGGGGUCAGAACUUCGGAGUUAAUUGACACCAGAUCUAGUCGCAUUUAUUAACAAUCUAUUUGAGACAAUUCUCUGUUGAACUGCUUAUGCUUACCAUAUUUCUAUCCUUUAAUGAUUGAAAAUGGAAAAGGUUAGAACA